rnacentral:tRNA from 11 species
AGGCGCAUAGCUCAGUUGGUUAGAGCACCACCUUGACAUGGUGGGGGUCGUUGGUUCGAAUCCAAUUGCGCCUACCA